AAUACAUAAUGCAUAUGGUGAAUGCCUUGACUCAUACUAGCGAUGAAGGGCGUAGCAGUCUGCGAUAAGCUUCGGGGAGGUGACGAGCAACCUUUGAUCCGGAGAUUUCCGAAUGGGAUAACCCAGCCGCAUUCUUCACUGACGUUCAGAAUGAAUUUUUAAUUUCCAAUUUUUAAAUAAUUUUCUAAUGUCUAAAUUUUUAAACAUUAAAAAUUAAUAUUUAUUUUAAAAAUUAUAAAAUUAAAAAUUUAAAAAUNNNNNNNNNNNNNNNNNCGUACCCGGCGAAUUGAAACAUCUUAUUAGCCGGAGGAAAAGACAUCAAUUGAGAUUCCCCAAGUAGUGGCGAGCGAACGGGGAAAAGCCUAAACUCGUUCGUGUCUCAUUUCAUUCGACUCGAACGCGCGGACAAUUGCGGACUUAACGCGGAAAAACGCGGACAUAUAAAUAAAAAAAUGUCUGCGUAAAUCAGCGUCCAGUCUGCGUAAGUCAGCGCGCGAAAGUCGAGCGAAGUGAGACAUGAGCGAGGGUUGCGAGAUAAUUGUACUCGUUUAAUCGGGGUAAUUUAUAUUUUAUUAACAAAAUGUCUCUGGAAAGAGCGGCCACAGAAAGUGAAAGCCUUGUAUGUGAAAAUGAAAUAUAUUUUAUGAAAUUAUUCUCAAGUAGGGCGGGACCGGUGAAAUCCCGUCUGAAUCCGGGGCCACUAUAGCUCCAAGGCUAAAUAUAGUAUGAGAUCGAUAGCGAACAAGUACCGUGAGGGAAAGGUGAAAAGUAUCCCGAUGAGGGAGAUGAAAUAGUAUCUGAAACCAUAUGCUAACGAAGAGUCAGAGCCGCAUUCUUCACUGACGUUCAGAAUGAAUUUUUAAUUUCCAAUUUUUAAUUUUUAAAUAAUUUUCUAAUGUCUAAAUUUUUAAACAUUAAAAAUUAAUAUUUAUUUUAAAAAUUAUAAAAUUAAAAAUUUAAAANNNNNNNNNNNNNNNNNNNNNNNNNNNNNNNNCAACUUUAUGUUGCGGAGUCGUAGUGAAAGCGAGCCUUAACGGGCGAACUUAAUGGCAUGGACUAGACCCGAAGCCAGGCGAGCUAUUUAUGAGCAGGGUGAAUCCCGAGUAAAAUCGGGAGGAGGCCCGAACCCACCAGCCGUGCAACACUGGGGGAUGACUUGUGAAUAGAGGAGAAAUUCCAAUCGAGCUUGGCGAUAGCUGGUUCUUCCCGAAAUAGCUUGAGGGCUAGCGUUUGAAAACUAUGCUUUGGAGGUAGAGCUACUGAAUGAGAAUUCGUGGUUCGCCAUAGGAUUCUCAACCAAACUCCGAAUUCCGAAGUAAUUAUUCAAGCAGUCAGUACUCCGGGGCUAAGCUCGGAGCACAAAAGGGAAAAAGCCCAUGAUCGCAAUCUAAGGUCCCAAAAUCUAUGUUAAGUGGUAAAGGAAGUAAAGUUUCUUAUACAUCUAGGAGGUUGGCUCAGAAGCAGCCAUCCUUUAAAGAGUGCGUAACAGCUCACUAGUCUAGAAACUUUGCGCCGAAAAUUCAACGGGGCUCAAACAUAGUACCGAAGAUGCGACUUGCUCAUAUCUCAUUGUAUUCGAUAUGAGCACGCGGAUAAAACGCGGAUUAUUGAUAUGCGGAUAUAACGCUGAUAAAAAAUCAGCGUAAAAUCAGCGUUAUGAUCAGCGAUAAAUCAGCGUGCGAACAUCGAGCAUAGCGAGAUGUGAGCAGGGGUAGGGAAGCGUUCCAUAUGCGCUGAAGGUCGAGCGUGAGCAAGGCUGGAGUGUAUGGAAGUGAGAAUGCUGGAACGAGUAACCGCAAUUGGGGUGAGAACCCCCGACACCGAAAGUCUAAGGUUUCCUGGGCAAUGUCAAUCAUCUCAGGGUUAGUCGGGCCUAAGGCGAGGCCGAAAGGCGUAGUCGAUGGACACACGGUUAAUAUUCCGUGACUUUAAUAUUAUUCGAUGGAGUGACAUAUUCUAGUAGUUUUUGCCGAUUAUUGGAUUUUGGUAGAAAUAUUGAAAUGGCUAAACAGGCAAAUCCGUUUAGCAACACAUUAAGAUAUUUCUGGAAUCUCGGUGCAAAUCGGGAGAACAAAAAUGAGCAGGGUAUCGAGAAAAGCUUCUAAGAUUAAUAAUAUUAGAACCGUACUAAAACCGACACAGGUAGACUGGGCGAGUAGCCUAAGGUGAACGAGUGAACCUUCGUUAAGGAACUCUGCAAAAUAGCGUCCGUAACUUAGGGAUAUGGACUCCCCGAUGUAAAUCGGGGCGCAGCUAAAGAUAUCAAGCGACUGUUUACCAAAAACACAGGUCUCUGCAAACCCGUAAAGGGAAGUAUAGGGGCUGACGCCUGACCAGUGCUGGAACGUUAACGGGAGUGGUGCAAGCCAAUCCCCGAAGCGCCAGUGAACGUCAGCGAUAACUAUAAUCGUUCUAAGGUAGCGAAAUUCCUUGACAGGUAAUGACGACAGAUAUUUGCCUGUAUGUUGUAGCGAUAUGACAUUAGAAAUCUGACUAAUAACGGUGAAACCUAAAUCCUAAAGAACUAUGGAUAUGGUAAUACCGUGGGAACUUGCUAUAAUUAUUUUAUAGUAAGACCUGUAACGACUGAAGCGAAAGCUGAGACUCGCGCAAUAUUUAUUCGCGGGUAAUACGUCAGCUCUUGUCGAACAAAAAAACAUAUGGAUUUUGCUUCUUAUGUUUCCGGCUUUAUUGAUGGUGAAGGAUGCUUUUCAGUAUCAUUCAACUUUCGAGAAAAGCUCAAAACUAAAAUUGAGGUUCGUCCGAGUUUUUCAAUCGGACAAAAUAUGCGCAGUUUGGAAAUUUUGAAAAUGAUUCAAAAAUUUUUCGAUUGUGGCAGUAUUCGUUUUUGCAAAAACGAUCAAUGCUAUAAAUAUGAAACAAGAAACAUUGGUGAUUUGCGGAAAAAAAUCAUUCCUCAUUUUAGAAAGUUUCCUUUGAUGACUAAUAAAAAAGCAGAUUUUGAAAUUUUUUCGAAAAUUUGUGAAAAAAUAGCUCAAAUGAAACAUCUCAAUCCCGUUGGUCUUAAAGAGGUUAUUGAUUUAGCUUAUAAGAUGAAUGGGCAUGGAAAAAGGAAAUAUAAAAAAGCAGAACUCCUAAGUGUUUUGGCAAGAUGAAGAUAUAGUCUGAAUUUUCGCGAAAGCGAUCAAACGAAUUGAAAUUCUGUCCCGCAUUAAAGGCGUAACGACUUGGUAACUGUCUUAACGAAGAGCUCGGUGAAAUUGCAAUGGCGGUAAAGAUGCCGUCGACCUGCAGCAAGACGAAAAGACCCCGUGGAGCUUUACUACAACUUGGUAUUGAAUUUGAGAUUGUGCUGCCUAGAAUAGGUGGGAGGCUGUGAAGUUUCGACUCUGGUCGGAAUGGAGCCAAAAGUGUAAUACCACUCUGUAUAAUUUUAAAUUCUAACCCUGGGCUGUUAUGAGUUACUUUGACUUAUAAUUUGUGCCGUAAAAUAUGAUAAUGAAAAUUAUUAGGAUUAGAUAUGAAGUUGUAAUUAUCGUAUUUGCGGUUCACAAAAAAAUAUAAAGUCUUGGUUACUCAUACCAGUCCGGGGACAGUGCCUGGCGGGUAGUUUGACUGGGGCGGUCGCCUCAACAUAAUCAACAAUGGGAAAUUAUUAUCCCCGCCCGAACCUUCGUUGCGGUAGUAAUUUUAUGAACAAAGGAUGGUUGAUUAGGGGCCUUCCGACAGUAAUGUCGGGAUGCAAAGUUAACAAUAUGCUGGAAACUCCGGAGUAUAUUAAUGUACUUAUUUAUGUAAGUAAAAAACAUUAAUUGUGUUUUGAUGUAAAAAUUAAAGCGCCGGACAAUCAGCAGGGAAAUCCUCAACGACUAAAUGUUAGCCAUGCUAUAAUAAGCAUGAUGAUAUAGUCUGAACUCUAUGGCGACAUAGAGAGUUCUGAUUAAAUUAGGACAUCUAAUUAUGAAUAUUAUGUAUUCAAAAAAAAUUGAAGCUUGGAAAAUUACAUUAAACUUGAAUAAGAUCCAAAGAGAAAUUCUUGUUGGUCUGAUCUUAGGUGACGGACAUUUAGAAACUCAAAAUAAUGGUAAAACAUACCGUUUAAAAAUUGAACAAUCAUUAAAUAAAGCGGAAUAUAUGAAAUGGUUGUAUGAAAAUUUUGAGAAUUUUGUCUUAAAUAAGCCUAAAAUAAAGGAUAAAAUAAGAAAUAAAGUUGCAACAAAAAAUAUUUGGUUUUCAACUUUAUCUCACGGAAGUUUCAGAUUUUAUGCCCAACAAUUUUAUGCCAAAGGUGAAAAAGUUAUUCCAAAAAUAACGGAAAAACUCUUAACGCCACUUGGCUUAGCUGUUUGGUUUAUGGAUGACGGAUCAAAAAAAUCCAAAUUCCAUAAAGCUAAAAUCAUCAAUACCCAAUGUUUUUCCAAAAAAGAGGUUUUGUUUUUGAUAAAAAUUUUGAAAAACAAAUUCGAAAUCAAUGCAAAACUUCGCUAUCAAAAAGACGGCUAUCAAAUAUAUAUCCUUUCUGAAUCGAUGGAUAAAUUUAAAGAAGUUGUUGGUCCAUAUAUAAUUGAUUGUAUGAGAUAUAAAUUAGAUUAACACAUUUGCCUAAAUGGCAACGGAGGCGUUUACAAAGGUUGGCUAGGUCCGGAUGGAAAUCGGACUCGUCGUGCAAACGCAUAAGCCAGCUUUACUGCAAGACUCAUUAGUCGAUCAGUUACGAAAGUAGAAGUUAGUGAACCGACUGUCGCAUAUAGAUGCGCAGAAGAUCAUCAGAUAAAAGUUACCCCGGGGAUAACAGGCUGAUCCCUCCCAAGAGUCCAUAUCGACGGAGGGGUUUGGCACCUCGAUGUCGGCUCAUCGCAUCCUGGGGCUGGAGAAGGUCCCAAGGGUUUGGNNNNNNNNNNNNNNNNNNNNNNNNNNNNNNNNNNNNNNNNNNNGACUAAUAACGGUGAAACCUUCAUAAUUAUUUUGGUUUAAUGAAUCAAAAACAUUGCGGUUCUUUGUUUUUGUAGUAUAAUUAGGUUGAGGACCAUAAUAAUUUUUUAAGGUAAUACCGUGGGAAGUCGGCUAGUGCUUCGCACUAGAAUUUCUAAUUUCUAAUUUCUAAUUUCUAAUCAAUUUCUAAUUUAAGGAAUAGCGGCAAGAACUCCCUGUUGUUGUCCGUACUCGGACACACAGGGUAAUUCACAAUUUAAAAAAUUAGGAUUUGUUUGGAAACUGGAAAUUGAUAAUUGGUAAUUCCAGUGCGUAGUGCUGGCUUGACCCCGUAACGACUUUGUUGCCUCAUUGGCGACAAGAUAGUGAUUGAUAGAAUUUGGAAAUAUAUCACUAUAAUAUGUUGGCCCCCCGAUAGAAUCGGGGGUGAAGAUAUAGUCUGCACUCCUAGAAAUAGGGGAAUAUGUGACGAGAGGACCGGAAAGAACAAACCUCUGGUGUACCAGCUGUUCCGCUAGGAGCACUGCUGGGUAGCUACGUUUGGACGGGAUAACCGCUGAAAGCAUAUAAGCGGGAAGCCCACCUCAAGAUUAGGCA
rnacentral:rRNA from 1 species